GGAUGCGACGGCGAUCUGGCUGUGACAUCUGUCACCCCAUUGAGCGCCAGGGUUGACUGGGCUGAUCUGGCUGGCUAGAGGGCUGUCCCCUUCCUCCCUCCCCGCUCCUUGUAUGUCCCUCCAGAAGCUGCGUGCGCUCCGUGGAAGAGGACCACCACCCCGGAUAGAGCAGGACCUUUUCCUAGGUCAGCACUCCCCCAGCAAGCUCUCAAGAACUGAGACACAGCUCAUCCUCUUGGAUCUAGUACCUAGGCCCCAUUCCCAAGCUUCUUUCUCAGUGAUGUAAAUGAGCUCAUUACAGACCUCCUUAUUUGCACAUCAAGGUAACUAUCUGUGAGUUGCAGAUUUUAUCU
rnacentral:snRNA from 1 species